ensembl:scaRNA small Cajal body-specific RNA 14
GUGGCAGUCUAAUGGUUAAUGCACUGAGCAGUGUGCUACAACUGGUGUGACUCCACACAGAGUAAGGCUGGUUCCUGCCGACAGGGCCUGUAAAGGCAUUGGUAUCCCUGUGCGAUGGUUCCAUACAUA